rnacentral:rRNA from 1 species
GAUCCUGGCUCAGGACGAACGCUGGCGGCGCGCCCAACACAUGCAAGUCGAACGAGCGAGAGAGAGCUUGCUUUCUUGAGCGAGUGGCGAACGGGUGAGUAACGCGUGAGGAACCUGCCUCAAAGAGGGGGACAACAGUUGGAAACGACUGCUAAUACCGCAUAAGCCCACGACCCGGCAUCGGGUAGAGGGAAAAGGAGCAAUCCGCUUUGAGAUGGCCUCGCGUCCGAUUAGCUAGUUGGUG